CAAUGUCUAGUCUGUCCCAAGUCUGGAUAGGUUGGUUGAGUCAGGAAGGGCAUUCAGUGUAAAACUGUGCCAUAUCAAUUAUGUGGACCAGAAUAAUCAGCUGGGCGACCCUUAAAGAAAAUAUGGGAGCAGCCAAACGUCAUCUGGUCAGUGGGGGUCAUGGAGGAAAGAAUCUUGUCUGGUCUUACCCUUUGACAAAUGGAUCAGAGGACCCUGAUUUGACGGCUGUCAAGUUCUUGGCUUCUUUUACCAGCAGCUCUACCAUCCCUCCUUUUGGCAGUGUGAUACUCUUCUUCCCUUUUAGAAACCGUCUUUUCACUAAAAGAGAAAAGCUCAUGAGUAUUAUUAAAAUAUAAAAAAAUUAAUGCAUUAA